GACGAACGCUGGCGGCGUGCCUAAUACAUGCAAGUUGAGCGCUGAAGGUUGGUACUUGUACCAACUGGAUGAGCAGCGAACGGGUGAGUAACGCGUGGGGAAUCUGCCUUUGAGCGGGGGACAACAUUUGGAAACGAAUGCUAAUACCGCAUAAAAACUUUAAACACAAGUUUUAAGUUUGAAAGAUGCAAUUGCAUCACUCAAAGAUGAUCCCGCGUUGUAUUAGCUAGUUGGUGAGGUAAAGGCUCACCAAGGCGAUGAUACAUAGCCGACCUGAGAGGGUGAUCGGCCACAUUGGGACUGAGACACGGCCCAAACUCCUACGGGAGGCAGCAGUAGGGAAUCUUCGGCAAUGGACGAAAGUCUGACCGAGCAACGCCGCGUGAGUGAAGAAGGGUUUCGGAUCGUAAAACUCUGUUGGUAGAGAAGAACGUUGGUGAGAGUGGAAAGCUCAUCAAGUGACGGUAACUACCCAGAAAGGGACGGCUAACUACGUA
rnacentral:rRNA from 1 species